rnacentral:rRNA from 1 species
UACAGAGGGUGCGAGCGUUGUUCGGAAUUAUUGGGCGUAAAGCGCUUGUAGGCGGCACGUCAAGUCGCGUGUGAAAUCCCCCAGGCUUAACCUGGGAAGUGCGCGCGAAAACUGACGAGCUUGAGUGCCGGAGAGGGUCGCGGAAUUCCCGGUGUAGAGGUGAAAUUCGUAGAUAUCGGGAGGAACACCAGUGGCGAAGGGCGGCGAC